rnacentral:rRNA from 1 species
UACGUAGGGGGCAAGCGUUGUCCGGAAUCAUUGGGCGUAAAGAGCGUGUAGGCGGCCAGAAAAGUCCGCUGUGAAAACUCGAGGCUCAACUUCGAGCUGUCGGUGGAAACUUUCUGGCUAGAGUCCGGAAGAGGAGAAUGGAAUUCCUGGUGUAGCGGUGAAAUGCGCAGAUAUCAGGAAGAACACCCGUGGCGAAGGCGGUUCUCUGGGACGGUAAUGACGCUGAGACGCGAAAGCGUGGGGAGCGAACAGG